rnacentral:lncRNA from 9 species
AGCGCGGGGUCUACUCUACCCAGCCGGCACCGCUCGGUUGGCUGACGCUGAGGUAGCCGGGGAGGUGCGUCCCGUCGGUCCCCCGCCCCAGAGCGGCCGCAGUCCCGGCUCCCGGAGUGGUGGUCCCUGCCCCGUCCAGAGAAUAACAUGGGGAGGCCGAGGAGCCUGCGCUGCGGCGGACGACCAGCCCCGCCGGCGGUCGCUGAGGCUGGGGUAGGACCGGAGGAAGACAGGUGGCGAGACCCUGGGAGGGGUGGGGGAGCCGUUCCCGCCCCCACGGGGGCCAAUCGCCCGUGGAGUCCACACUUGGCCCCUCAUUCCCCACUUUGUCUCGGCGUCUAGCCGGGGGUGAGCAGGGCGGGGCCGGGAGGGGUGGGAAGCAUCCCCCUGGCUCCACCCCUCCAUCCGGGCCGGAUCCUGGGCGGUGACCCUCGGGCUGGGCUAUCCCUCCCAUCCCCACCCGGUUGCUGCCCCGACUCCGAUCCCUGCGACAUCCUCCAUUCCUCGCCGCCUUAGGCCGUUUCGCUGUCCCCGCGAUGGUCACUGUUUUGUCUCUGCCACGCGGUCGUUUUUAAAACCUUUUCCGUGUCGGAGAUCCCUCGGAGACACCCGGGAAGGCCUUGAAAGCUGCCCGCCCUCUGAAGCAUUUACGCGCCAAACUGCGGCCGCGGCGCUUCACAGACUCCUCCCCGCCCAGGUUCCAAUGCCAGUCUUCCAGUGCCAGUGCUGCUUCCCAGCCCACACAUCCCUCUCAUCACUGCUGCAUCCUAAGGAAGUCAGCAACCUUCAGGGGGUACUUGUUCCUGGAGCCAGAGUAGAGGAGGGUGGCGCUUCCAAGGCUGUGGGCAUCCAAAGAAAGAGUGCUGUCCAUCCUCCUCCUGCCUACUGAUCUCCCAUCAGCAGAACCCCACUGGAGACCUACUAGCAGCUUUUUUUAGGGCCGCUCUCGAAUCAGAGCUACAGCUGCCAGCUUAUAUCACAGCUACAGCAACAUAGGAUCCAAGCUAUGUCUGCGACCUACAAUGCGGCUCACGGCAACGCGGGAUCUCUAACCCACUGAGCAAAGCCAGGGAUCAAAACUACAUCCUCAUGGGUACUAGUCAGAUUCAUUUCCACUACACCACAACAGGAACUCCCUACAUUUGUUUUGUGGUAACAAUUACCUGGUAAAUUUCCAUCUUCCAAUAGAGUUGUGCUACUCUCUUUCACAGUUUUCUUACUGUAUUUUUGAGUAGGUAUUGUGCAUAUAACUUUCAUGGUCCUCAAAAUUAAAUCCUCUGUUAUUAUUAGGAGGUGAAGAGAAGGACCCGGAGAGCUUUAUAGAAUUAGUUCUCAUGGGCUCUUUCCUCCGUUGCUAUAGCAAAAAAAAAAAAAAAAAAAAAAAGUAUUUCCUUAAAAUACAGCAACUCUGUGAAGUCAUGCUUCCUGUGCCUCCAGGUACCUAACCAGGCUCUGAAAAGCUUCUACGUAUAGUUCUCAACUUCCUGAUUUAUUCACACACUGCAGAGACCCAGGCUUUGCCUUACAAAAUAAUAUGAUCCCUUUUAGAAAGUUAUUACUGGUGGUUUCUAAGAUCUACUAUCUCUGAUUAGGCACUUCGUAUCUUUCUCUCUCUUUAGUGUUUAGACCCUAAUCAAUCUCAGUUCUUUCCCAGAAUGUCCUCUUGAAUUCCUACAUAGACUUGCUGCACAGUGCUUAUGGUCUCAGUUGCUGACUACAGCAUUGACUGUAAUUUUGGAGUGUUGGGGUUUUGUUAGUCAGCUGUUUGCUGAAAAUUCAUUUUCUGUGACCUUAUUUUUUUUCUUCUUGUUGUUCUGGAUAGAUUUCAGGAGAAGGAAUGAAAAGUUUCAGAACUUAACAGACUCCCAUGUUCUCAUAGAAUGAUGAUAUAAUUUAUUUUUCUCCCAUGUUCUCAAAAGAAAUGAAAAAAUUCUCUGGAAGUACUAUGAUUAUUGGCUUUAGAUAAUGAACGAGAAUGUUCUAGUUAUCACCAGCCUAAUUCAAGCCAAUUAUAUAGAUUUUUCAUACCUACUAUAACAUUAAGGCUAUGUCUAGAAGAUAAUGUCACAAAGUAAUUUAAUGGAAAAUCAUUUAAGGCCUACAGUUCAGAUAAAUUAAGUUUUAAGCAAAAGAGGUUCUGAAAGAAGUAGAAGCAGCAUUUUAUUUUGAUAUGCUAAAAAAUGAAUUGCUAAUAAAAUGUUUCUCCUGAACCCA